CCUGGCUCAGAUUGAACGCUGGCGGCAUGCCUUACACAUGCAAGUCGAACGGUAACAGGUCUUCGGAUGCUGACGAGUGGCGAACGGGUGAGUAAUACAUCGGAACGUGCCCGAGAGUGGGGGAUAACGAAGCGAAAGCUUUGCUAAUACCGCAUACGAUCUCAGGAUGAAAGCAGGGGACCGCAAGGCCUUGCGCUCACGGAGCGGCCGAUGGCAGAUUAGGUAGUUGGUGGGAUAAAAGCUUACCAAGCCGACGAUCUGUAGCUGGUCUGAGAGGACGACCAGCCACACUGGGACUGAGACACGGCCCAGACUCCUACGGGAGGCAGCAGUGGGGAAUUUUGGACAAUGGGCGCAAGCCUGAUCCAGCCAUGCCGCGUGCAGGAUGAAGGCCUUCGGGUUGUAAACUGCUUUUGUACGGAACGAAAAGACUCUGGUUAAUACCUGGGGUCCAUGACGUA
rnacentral:rRNA from 1 species